rnacentral:rRNA from 1 species
UGGGGAAUAUUGCACAAUGGGGGAAACCCUGAUGCAGCGACGCCGCGUGAACGAAGAAGGUAUUCGUAUCGUAAAGUUCUGUCCUAUGGGAAGAUAAUGACAGUACCAUAGAAGAAAGCUCCGGCUAAAUACGUGCCAGCAGCCGCGGUAAUACGUAUGGAGCGAGCGUUGUCCGGAAUUAUUGGGCGUAAAGGGUACGCAGGCGGUUUAAUAAGUCGAAUGUUAAAGAUCGGGGCUCAACCCCGCAAAGCAUUGGAAACUGAUAAACUUGAGUAGUGGAGAGGAAAGUGGAAUUCCUAGUGUAGUGGUUAAAUACGUAGAUAUUAGGAGGAAUACCAGUAGCGAAGGCGACUUUCUGGACACAAACUGACGCUGAGGUACGAAAGCGUGGGGAGCAAACAGG